CGCGCUGUAUGGGCUUGGGCAGACGACAUGUUCACUCCCAGCUGGAUUACAAAGGCUGAUGGAGGAACAGGAUUUUCAAUCUGUCAGGUUGCGUGGAUAUAUGUUCGUCAGGUCAUAUAUCCACAAAAGAAGAUUCAUCUAUAGGUCCCCAUAUGAACAGUCAACGCCCGUCAGGUAUUCAACAUGCCAAUUCGUCUCAAACUAUACUGCAGUUUUUGUUUUAAUUCUACCGUGUUCUCUUAGAUUGAUUACUAAUCUUAACCUUUAUUCUUCUUUCAUAUUCUUUAACUAUGCACGUGCAAUUGGUACCCUUUUGUUUUACUUCAAACUGAAUCUUUGUGCAGAUUAAUGAGGUCGUGCUGCCAGCAAUCGAAUAUUUGUGGUCUAUUGACAGAGAUAAUAGAGAUUAGAUACUGCAUCCCAGUUUUGUUAUGCAAAUGGUUGUACCGUGUCCUUUUAGAAAAUGCUACUGACAAUAGCACUCAGAGAAUGAUGUCAUCCACAACCUCUACACCGAAUGUAUUUUUUGGUCAACAAAUUUUGGGUAUAAAAGUUCAN
rnacentral:lncRNA from 1 species